AGUGCAAAAAUACAAUUUUUUGUUAAAGUGAACAAUACUGCAGAUUUUUCGUUAAAAUUCCCUUAAAAAAAAAAAAAAAAAGGGAAAGAAUCAUACUAAAAAAAAAAAAAAAAAAAAACUCCAAAAUUUGGAGUCUAAAUAGGUUCUCUCUCCCGUAAAGGCGGGAAGUACGUCCUCGCUCCCUCCAUAAUUUUCUUUUCUUUUUUUUUUUUACCCCUUGUUUCUCAAUUUAAGUUCACGAUUCCGUUACACACUCAAACUCUACCAGUCUUUCUCCCCACAUCCCUACAAAACCUCCAAUUUCAAUUUCACUACCCAAUUCCAAAUUCCCAAAUUCCCAAUUCCCAAUCCAAUCCAUGGACGAUUCAGUUCAGAACGAGCCGCCGGAGACGCCUAAACAGCAAGUUGUUCGCCGGAAACUGGUCCAGACCACAUUGUUCCCUCUCAAACCCCAGCAACAGCUCCAGGUAAACGGCGAUCUGAAGGCCGAGAGAUGGAAUGCUGGUGACGACGAGGGCAGCAACAACGAGGACUUCUGUGGGAGUCAAAGCAAGACGAAAAGGAAUUCAAAGGGAAAUAAGACGCCUCCGAUUAAAGCCCCUAAGAAGAACGGUAAGCGAUCGGAGAAUAGUACACCGAAGAGGAAGAAGAACGGAACUGAAGUGAAGAGUGAAGAUGCACCUCGAGUUAUCAAUGAUUUCAGGCUAGAGGCUAGAUUGAAAGCUGAGGAAAUGUCACGGGUAUUUUCAGGAAUGUUUUCUGGAAAGCACAUACAUCCAUUUUUCUCAAUUUGUAAAGCCGGAAAGUGAAGACGAAAGGCAACUGAAUUUGAUGGCGAUUUGAGCUUCAUUGGGAGCAAGGAUGAAGAGAUAACUAGUGGUCCAAUUCAUGUGUUUGAAAGGACUCAGAUCAGUGGCAAAUUCUAAGGGUUCACAGAACAAGUCUAGUGAAAUCCCUGUUUGUCGAUGCAAAUGAUGUGACAGACCAUGAGAUGGACGAUGAUUCCUGUUUGUUGAUGGCCAUAUCAGAUGAAGAUUCUCAUGAGGCAAUUGAAACCUCUGUAAAAUCUGACUCUUAAGGACAAUCAUAACAAAGUUAAAUAUCUGGUACUUUUUGACAAUGUGGACAUCAUAUUUCUUGAAGAUCGUGGUUUCAUUGCAGCAAUUCAGCAGAUAGCUAAAACAGCCAAGGGGUCCAUAAUACUGACUAGCAAUAGUGAAAAUCCUGUCCUGCCAGACAGUUUUGAUAGAUUACAAGUACGUUUCAUGUUGCCAUCACCAAAGGAGCUGCAUUCUCAUGUGUAUAUGAUACCAAAAUGCAAGAGUCGUAUGGUUUCCUGCUAUUUGAUGUUGAGGCUGGCCAUCUGAUACUGCCAAAUAUAUUACCAUGGGAUUUACCCUCUCAGUUAUCUGAUCUAGUAGAGAAAGAGAUAACAAAGGCAUUAUUCAGGAUGGAAGAAAGUCCAAGCUCGACGGAGGUAAUUGAAGAAAACCUUCACGAGAUAGAAGUGCAAUACAGGUUGGACAUGCCUUGUAAUGGAAUGGAAAGUUUAGAGGCCAAGAAGGUAGAAAUGCUGAGCAGGAAUGGCUCUCUUCAUGACUGCAGUCAAUAUAAAGCUCAAACUGAUAUUGCUUCUGAGUCUUCCAACGAUUUAGGUGCCCCUUUUCCCUCAUGUCGGCGAAAUGUUCGGAGUAUGCAUGCUGUUGUAAUGUCUGAUUCUGAAGACGAGUUUAUGACCAAUGGAUAUCCUACAGUUACAGAUAACAAUGAAGUCCUUGGAGUUAAGCCAUUAGCUGUGGAGUUACCUAGUUUUGGAGCAGCUAAUAUAGAUGGAUCUUGUGAAUGUUCAGAAACUGCAGAUGAGAUGCACAUAAGUGAGACUUGCUACUCAGUUGGUAUAUCAUGUGUACCAGAAUCUUCUUUUCUUCCUGAAACUCAAAUUGACAAUAUGCCAGAGUUAUCAUCUCAAACAAUGUCUUCUGACCAUGUUCCCAACGCCAUUAAAAGAGUAUCUUUAGGUGAUGAAUAACGUGGUGAAGCCAACAAUCUUAAUAAACUAAUAUUAGCACAGGCAAACUCUGAUAAGUGGGGAAGUAAUUGUGCCACAAAUGCAGAGUAUUCUAACCAGGAGUUGGAUAAUUCUCCAAAGGAACAAGUGGAGACUGUUGCAAGUGCUUAUCAGUUGAUGGAGAGUGUAGCCGCGUGGACUUUAAUAAGGGCUCCCAGUUUAUACAGGGGCAAAAGUCCUCAGUUGUGAGUCCAGAUUUAGUACAAGAUUCAUGGGACAACCUUGAUGGCUACCACAUUGAUCUUAGGCAGUAUGUUGCAUCCGAACAACCCAAUGCCUCUUUGAUUGUCAUGCUUGCUGAUCGAAUGAGCAGAAUUUGAUAUCAGAAACUGACAUGUUUUCUAAAAGCCAAUCACUGAUAAGUGAUUCUUUGGAACCAUCAGUGAUCCCCUUGGAGGAGUCAGAUGCAUACAGCUGGUGUGAUAAGCGAUUAUUGUUGGUGUCCACAAUAGGGCAGCAUGGGUUUUGCUUCUAUGCAAAACGCAUUUUUUUUCUGUAGGAUCAAAAAAAGGUUGUGUAGGGAGGGUGGAUUUGGAUGGGGAGAUGCUGGCUAACACACCCAGUAUGAUGGCAUUUGGUAAGCUAAUUGGGUGGGGUAUGAGAGCAAGUAUGGCUUCAUCUGCCAGAAGAAAUUCAGAGACGUCCCUGCCAAAUGCUACAAGUGAAAUCCAGUCACAUGUAUUUGAUGUAAUUCAGUCAAUUGUACCUUCAAGAACGUGCUCAAAUUUGAGAGGUGGUGCACACCAUGAGUACCUUUCUUCUCUGCACCACAUUUCCACAUCAGAAGCUUCUCAUUUAUCAGAAGGAGCUGAUAAGACCAUCAGAAGGAGGAGUAGCACUUUAUACGUUAUUUCCAGUACUCAAAUGUAUGCUGUUAUCUCCUAUCUGACCUCCCCGGUCUCUGAUGAUGAGAUAAAAGGCAGCGGCACAACAAAUGGGAGGGUUAAAGGCCCGGGUCUUGACGGCUUCAAAGGAAAUUUCUACCACUCUUUCUGGGAUACUAUUGUGGAGGAAGUGAAUGGUUUGAUUUGUGACCUCAUGAACGACACUAACAGGCAGUUUCUUACAUGACAUGGUGACAUGACACAAAAAUGACAAAAAUAACGGGUUUUGGGUCAACACGAUAAUUAAUCGGGUCAUUAUCGGGUGACUUGUUAAUAAUGGGUUCUUAACGAGUAUACACACUGGUAACACAUGAGUAAUCUGUUUUGACCCGUUAAGAAAAAUAUAUUAUAAUUUUAAAGUUUAAUUACUAAAUUUUUUUAUUAUAAAAUACAAUAGCCAUAUUGUAUAUAUUGAUAUAUU